rnacentral:rRNA from 1 species
GACGAACGCUGGCGGCGUGCUUAACACAUGCAAGUCGAACGGAAAGGCCUGCUUUCCCUUGUGGAUUGCGGGUGCUCGAGUGGCGAACGGGUGAGUAACACGUGAGUGAUCUGCCCCCAACUUGGGUAUAAGCCUGGGAAACUGGGUCUAAUUCCCGAUAGGACUGCAGGGUGGUGCCUGUGGUGGAAAACGAUUUUCUAGUGGUUGGGGAUGAGCUCGCGGCCUAUCAGCUUGUUGGUGGGGUAAUGGCCUACCAAGGCGGCGACGGGUAGCCGGCCUGAGAGGGUGGACGGCCACAUUGGGACUGAGAUACGGCCCAGACUCCUACGGGAGGCAGCAGUGGGGAAUAUUGCACAAUGGGCGGAAGCCUGAUGCAGCGACGCCGCGUGGGGGAUGACGGCCUUCGGGUUGUAAACUCCUUUCGACCGCGACGAAGCCACCUGGUUGGAAGGGUGGUGACGGUAGUGGUAGAAGAAGCACCGGCUAACUACGUG